AACGCAGCGAAGGGCGAUAAGUAAUGUGAAUUGCAGUAUUUUCAGCGAAUCAUCGAAUCUUUGAACGCACCUUGCCGCCCCUUGGUAUUCCGGAGGGGCAUGCCUGUUUGAGUGUCAUUAAAUCCUCAACCGCGCCGAUCGAUUUCGGUGGGGCUUGGACUUUGGAGCGUGCUGGCGAAGGUCGGCUCCUCUUUAAAUGCAUCAGCGGAAGAAACCUUUGGCUUCCGGAUGUCAGUGUGAUAAUCAUGUUGCGCUGUCGUUUGAUCCCUCAGAGUCCGCUUAUAAUGGUCUUCGGACAAAAUCAUCAUCAAAUUUGACCUCAAAUCAGGUAGGACUACCCGCUGAACUUAA
rnacentral:rRNA from 1 species